AGAGUUUGAUCCUGGCUCAGGAUGAACGCUAGCGGCAGGCCUAAUACAUGCAAGUCGAGGGGCAGCGCAGUGUAGCAAUACAUGGGCGGCGACCGGCAAACGGGUGCGGAACACGUACGCAACCUUCCUUCAAGCGGGGAAUAGCCCAGAGAAAUUUGGAUUAAUACCCCAUAAGAAUGUGGUGAGGCAUCUCACAGCAU
rnacentral:rRNA from 1 species